rnacentral:rRNA from 1 species
GAUCAUGGCUCAGGAUGGACGCUGGCGGCGUGCUUAACACAUGCAAGUCGAACGAAGCGCUUGAGAUUGAUUCUUCGGAUGAUUUCUCUUGUGACUUAGUGGCGGACGGGUGAGUAACGCGUGGGUAACCUGCCUCACACAGGGGGAUAACAGUUGGAAACGACCGCUAAUACCGCAUAACCCGCUAGGGCCGCAUGGCCCGGACGGAAAAGAUUUAUCGGUGUGAGAUGGACCCGCGUUGGA